AGAAAUGUUAAAGGGGAAGAUGACUUACAUGCACGCGGUAGUUACUUGCUUAUUUCUUGUUCGCGACUUGACUUGGGACGAGACGCGACUGGGACGAACUUGGGCGUGACUUGGCGGGAACUGGACUUGGCGGGAACGAAGCUGGACGUGACUUGGUGACUUGGGGGGUACGGGAACGGGAACUUGACUUGGACGAAACUGGAAGUUGAUUUGGACGAAACUGGAAGUUGACUUGGACGAAACUGGAAGUUUACUUGGACACUUUGAUGGUUGUGUGAAAGUCCUUUAGCUUAAACUCUAAAGCUUUGUUUCAAUUUAACUGUUGCUUUCUGCUGAUCAUGAAAUGGUCACAACCUGACACCCUUGCUCUUUGUUAGAAUAUAUCGUAGAAGGUCAACCAAAACUGUUGCUUCACUUCUCCAAAGUCCAAACUUGCUUGCAGGGCGUAUAGUUAUUAGUAGAUGAAAUUAGAAGAAGUUGGGGUUCCAGGUGGGGGUUUCCAAGUGAGG